GAAAUUCAAGCCGUACCAAAUAUGUUGGAAGUGAGAUUCCCAUUGUUCUGCUACAAAAUCUUAGAAGGUUGGGAAUUAACUAACGGAACAAAAAUGAAGCAAGAAAGGAAGGAGGCAAUGGGAAUGACUUCUGAAAAACCUUGCCAAGAAAACUGCGGACAGUAGCCCAGGUAGUCACCAGGAAUCAAGACUUGAAAACACACACCGGUAGUGGUGGGAUUCUACCAGUUCUACAAGGUUCAGGCGAACCGAUUGGGGCAGUGGUGGGAGGCUCCGCCCACCCACUUGGAUGUCAUCACGGACGCUCUGAGCAUGUGCGCGCUCACAUUUGUGAACCGGUACUGAAGGGCCACCACCCAUUCUGGAGCCUCAUGCUAUGGCAUGGAUUUGAGGAACACAACAUUGGGAACAAUCCCAAAGGUGCUUUUUCAAGAGGCAACUGGACUUUCUGGGUUUUUGUUGAAGACAUUUUGCUUCUUAUCUAAGAAGCUUCUUCAGAGCUUCACCUUUAGGACAACCAUGACCUGGAUGACUGAGAAUCUCCAUAGACGUUGGAAAUGAUGUCUCUCAAACACAAGGAAUUCAUCCUAAAAGAGAUCAUCAGGUGAAC